ensembl:lncRNA
CUGCUGUGGGCCUGUGUGGACACACCCACAGUGGCCCCACACAGCCAUGUUUGGAGGCACGUUACUUAAUAUAAGGAAACAGCAGACAGGGAAAUGUGAUUACUGUGGAGAAGAUGAAAGAAUGUUUUAUUCCACUGCCAGAAAUAUGAAGUGAAACUGGUUCUUACUGACACGCUGCAAAGAACUCAACAAGUGAAACAAACAGUCGGACAGUCUGAGUUGGUCUCUGAGGGCAGCUCGCUACAUACCGAACAGUACCAGCAUGACCCUCAACCCUCUGUCCCAGCAUGCAACAGCACAGAGGAUAGCACUGACCACAACAGACUCAUAGACAAUUCUGAGCAUUGGUCAACAGAGACUGUGGCCCUUCCUGUAGAGGGCAGUGGUGUUUUUAACCACGUCCGGUUUAUUAUCAGUGUGUACUCUGAGGUAUUUACCGUCCUCCACAACGUCCACAUCAACCAUGUCCACUGAAAACGAGUGACUCCUGCUGGCUGUGCUCCAGGGGUAAAAUGGGUGGAGUUUAUCUAAACGCAGGAAGGAAAGCUUGAAGAAAGCACCGCUGUGCGUCCAGCACAGAGCCACAGCCUGCUGGGUGAAAGCAAAGAACAAAUACAAAGAGUGUUCACAGCAGCAAACAGGCUGACUGACCUGUGACCCUCACAGACCUCAGUCAUUACUGUUGAUAUGAUGAUGAUGAUGGUGAAACGUUUCUCCCAUGAAGGCGUCCAGAUGAACAGAGUCAACUUUUGGGGAGUAGCUUGACCAGUACGUGUGAUUGUGUUAGCACUAUAAUAUCAGCUGAUAGUGUGCUCUGUCUUGGUCCUUCCAGGCUCCUGCUGAUCUCACUGGGACAGUUUCCUGCUCUGUGAUGGACAGAGAAACCUCCAUGAUGAGCACUGCUGCUGACGAGCUGCUGGGGGCCACUUUCUCCAGGAUAAAGAUUUUGAACCACUAUAAAGAUCAGCUUACAGACCUGACUAAGGAGCUCAAGAAACUAAAGCCAAAAUAUAACAGGACAGGAUGUAUUAAGCUUUUUUCAAGGAGAUCAUCUUCCCCAUCGUCUUGUCCUAAAAUCACUGAAUCACUGGAGAAUCUCAAAAAGGUAGAAGGUGAAAUCAAUGAAGCCCAGCAAAAAAACGAGGAACUGUUUGAGAAGCUGAAGAUUUCUGCAAACAGCCGUGAGCACGUCAUGGAAGAAAUUGUGUCAGCAAUAGCAAAAAGACUUGAUUUCAAGAACCAAAUUAACUUCAGAUCAGCUUCAGCUCGAAGACUCAUCCAUGAAAUGUCUGGAUGUGAGUUUCAGCACAUCCUCGAAGGAAAAGUGGUGGUUGGAUCUGUACAUGGUGGAAAGGAGUUGCCACUUCCUGAAGUCAUUCAAAUGUUGAGAGAAUUAAUCUGGAAGAAUCAUGUGACCGAAGCCAGCGAAUCACUGAGAGCUGCAGCUGACAAGAUCAAAGAGUUCAUCUCAGACCUUAAGCUGGAAUUCAACUACAUUGUAGACAAGGUGAUCAAGCUAGCUCAACAAGCAGGUGAAGAACAGUCUGCCUCUCAAACAACGACUGGUGGUGACAACGAGGAAGAAAGUAAUCAACCAAGUGAGGAGAGUGAUGUUGAUGACACAAAAAAAGAUGAAGACUAUGUGCCCCCAGCUGACUGGCGUGAUAGUGAUGAUGGUAAUGGUGCUGCUAAAAGGAAAUUUAACGAGCAGAAGAAUGCAGGAGAUGCUGGAAGCUGGGUGCUGAUCAAUUGUCGCUCGAUUAACAAUAAAGAGGAAAAAUUGAAGGGUUUAUUAAAGAAAAACAAAGAUGUAUUAAUUAUAACAGAGACGUGGAUAAAAAAUGAAAAGGAGAAGCACAAGGAUGAGGUCCAUCGAGACAUGUCAGAAUCAGAAUCAGAAAGGGUUUUAUUGCCAAAUGUUGAGCAGGUUUACAACAUUAGGGAAUUGCUGCAGUGCUUCAGUGCAAACAUGUCAAUCGAAAAGUACGCACUUUUUCAGUUUCCGAGGGAAGAGAAAACAGGAGGUGGCGUCGCGAUUUUAUUCUUAAAUACCCUUUACAAGGGUAAACAAAUUAAUCUGAUCUCAGCCAAACACUUUGAAUAUGUGGCUGUAGAGCUGGAGCAAACUGGUUACCAACCUGUCCUGGUCAUCGGUGUGUAUCGCCCUCCGAAGACGAAAUUCAAAGAUUUCCAGCCGGAGUUUGAAAGCCUCUUGCAGGACGUUUCUGCAAAAUGCAAAGACUGCAUCAUUUUGGCUGGAGAUUUUAAUAUCUGGUUUGAUGAAAACUUGGAGGACAAAUACAAAAAAUACAAAACAGAAUUUUCAUCUUUAUUGAACAAAUACAGUCUUACGCAACAUGUAAAAAGCCCAACACAUGAAAAAGGUCACAUUUUGGAUCUGGUCAUCAGCAGAAAUGUUGAAGUCUCUGGUCUGAGUGUUCGUAAUGACGACAUAGCAGAUCAUUGCAGUAUAUACUUCAAUGCCACACCAAAGCCCAAACACAGGAAACAAUCUGAAGCAGAGGAGAAUGAAGAUGAAGAUGAGCCCACAAAACGACUGAAAAUUAGGGAAGAGUAGAAAACUUGAUGCACCUAUUUGUCCUUUAAAAGCUGAAAUAUGUUGGACUCGUGGACGCCCGAGCGUUCACCUUUCAGGAUUCAUCAUCAUACACACAUAACACAUCAGGGGGCUGAAUAAUUACGCACACCCCACUUUUCAGUUAUUUAUUUGUUAAAAAUGUUCGGAAUCAUGUCUGAUUUUCGUUCCACUUCUCACAGAUUUGGAGAAGGGUGGCAGAUGUAACUGGCAGAUAAUGUUAAAAACAAUUCUACCAACUGUUCACCAUAAUUCAAUAACCCCGUAAAACUAAUAACUGAAUGUGCUUUUAACUCUUCUUAGAAUGAGAUUUUAACCACUACGGUGCAAAGUUUGUAGAUACUGUGUUGAUAAAGUACAAGAGAUACAAUCAGUCAGUGUUUACUCAGCAGUCAAGGACAUCAAUAUUUGCAUAGUAUUUUUACUGACAUGUUUUGGGAAAAAACAUUUUUGAAUAUUAAAAUACGAACAUUUGUAACAAACAAUUGACAAAUUAGCCAAUGCAAAACUUUAUCUGCCUGUUAAAAAAAGAAGAUAAUCUUCUCACAAACUGGUGUUUGAUUUUGAAACAGGAAAAAAGUGGAGAAACAAAUGAAAAGACUAACAUUUGAAUAAAACCUGAAAGCAAGUAAAUACUUUCUGUGCUGCCUUAUGGUAAACUUUGGUAAUAUUGAUAAAGAACAACACUGGCUGAUGAUGAAAUACAGUCAGCUGGCAUGGUGACACUGCCAGUAUUAACCUGCAGGGCUGGACUGGGACAGAAAAAUUGGCCUUUUGACUAAAGACCGCCCCCCAGGUAUUAAAACCAUAAAGCCUUUGAAUGAAAACAAACCCUGUUGUGACAGUGAUGUACAGUCUUGUUGGUAUAUGUAUGAUUUCUACACAUUCUUUCCCAGUUAAAUUUACCCUUCAUUCUAAUUUGUGUUGUACAGUUAUUUCAUUUUUAACUUUAAUUUUUAUAUUUUAUUUUCUUCCUUCCUAGUUAAAUUUACCCUUUUUAAUUUUCAUAUUUAUUUCCUAUCUUACUCAUAGCCUUUUCUUUUUUCUUUAGGUCACGAGCAGUUGUCUAAGCAUUUCACUGCAUAUCGUACUAUGUAUGACUGUGUACGUGACAAAUAAAAUUUGAAUUUGAUUUGAUUUGAUUUUUACCUCAGAUAAAAACUUUGUUUGCAAGAUUCAGAUAAUUAUUUAAUAAAAGCUAGUGUCAUGAAAUCAAUAUCCUUAGUAUCCUUCUUUUCCUAUUAUAUUGUUUUAUGUACUUUAAUAAUGAAGGCUUGUAGAGCAAGGCCACUUUUGACUCACAAAGUGCUCAGCCAGACUAAAAAACAGGAAGUUUUAGUGCACAGGCAUAUUAAUAGAUAAGACACAGAAAAGAGGAACUUUGCCAUAUAAGCAAUGUUUGAAACUGUGUGACGUGCAAAGUACAGAAAUAAUACCAUAUAAGACACAUGUGGAGCUAAAAAUGUUAGAGCUGCAACUGGCGUUUGAGCUGUGCAGGGGUCUCUCUCUUCCGG